AACGCACAUUGCGCCCGUUAGCAUUCUAGCGGGCAUGCCUGUUCGAGCGUCAUUUACACCCUCAGGAACCUGUUUUCCUGGUGUUGGGGAGCCCUGUAGGCACAGCCCUUCAGGCCCCUAAAAGCUAGUGGCGGAUUCUGUCAUAUCCCGAGCGUAGUAAUUUUUCUCGUUUAGGGCAUAUGAUUGACUCUAGCCUUGCACUAUUUUAUUCCAAAAGUUGACCUCGGAUCAGGUAGGAAUACCCGCUGAACUUAA
rnacentral:misc_RNA from 1 species